rnacentral:rRNA from 1 species
CUACGGGUCGCACCAGUGGGAAAUAUUGCACAAUGGGCGCAAGCCUGAUGCAGCCAUGCCGCGUGUAUGAAGAAGGCCUUCGGGUUGUAAAGUACUUUCAGCGGGGAGGAAGGGAGUAAAGUUAAUACCUUUGCUCAUUGACGUUACCCGCAGAAGAAGCACCGGCUAAAGCCGUGCCAGCAGCCGCGGUAAUACGGAGGGUGCAAGCGUUAAUCGGAAUUACUGGGCGUAAAGCGCACGCAGGCGGUUUGUUAAGUCAGAUGUGAAAUCCCCGGGCUCAACCUGGGAACUGCAUCUGAUACUGGCAAGCUUGAGUCUCGUAGAGGGGGGUAGAAUUCCAGGUGUAGCGGUGAAAUGCGUAGAGAUCUGGAGGAAUACCGGUGGCGAAGGCGGCCCCCUGGACGAAGACUGACGCUCAGGUGCGAAAGCGUGGGGAGCAAACAGGAUUAGAUACCCGUGUAGUC